CCUACGGGAGGCAGCAGUGGGGGAUAUUGCACAAUGGGGGAAACCCUGAUGCAGCGACGCCGCGUGAGUGUAGAAGUAUUUCGGUAUGUAAAGCUCUAUCAGCAGGGAAGAAAAUGACAGUACCUGACCAAGAAGCCCCGGCUAACUACGUGCCAGCCGCCGCGGUAAUAGGUAGGGGGCAAGCGUUAUCCGGAUUUACGGGGUGUAAAGGGAGCGUAGACGGUUAUGUAAGUCUGGAGUGAAAGCCCGGGGCCCAACCCCGGGACUGCUUUGGAAACUGUGUAACUGGAGUGCAGGAGGGGCAGGCGGAAUUCCUGGUGUAGCGGUGAAAUGCGUAGAUAUCAGGAGGAACACCGGCGGCGAAGGCGGCCUGCUGGACUGAAACUGACGUUGAGGCUCGAAAGCGUGGGGAGCAAACAGGAUUAGAUACCCUUGUAGUC
rnacentral:rRNA from 1 species